GUCAGUGUAGUGUAAUGGUUAGAAUGUUGGACUAGGACUCCAGGAGGUCAGGGUUUGAAUUCCUUCUCUGCA